rnacentral:rRNA from 1 species
UACGAAGGGGGCUAGCGUUGCUCGGAAUCACUGGGCGUAAAGGGUGCGUAGGCGGGUAUUUAAGUCAGGGGUGAAAUCCUGGAGCUCAACUCCAGAACUGCCUUUGAUACUGAGUAUCUUGAGUACGGGAGAGGUGAGUGGAACUGCGAGUGUAGAGGUGAAAUUCGUAGAUAUUCGCAAGAACACCAGUGGCGAAGGCGGGUCUCUGGACAGUUCCUGACGCUGAGGCACGAAGGCCAGGGGAGCAAACGGG